rnacentral:rRNA from 1 species
UACGAAGGGGGCUAGCGUUGUUCGGAAUCACUGGGCGUAAAGCGCACGCAGGCGGAUAAAUAAGUCAGGGGUGAAAUCCCGGGGCUCAACCUCGGAAUUGCCUUUGAUACUGUUUAUCUCGAGUUCGGGAGAGGUUGGCGGAAUUCCUAGUGUAGAGGUGAAAUUCGUAGAUAUUAGGAAGAACACCAGUGGCGAAGGCGGCCAACUGGCCCGAUACUGACGCUCAUGUCGCGAAAGCGUGGGGAGCGAAC